rnacentral:misc_RNA from 1 species
GAAAUGCGAUAAGUAAUGUGAAUUGCAGAAUUCAGUGAAUCAUCGAAUCUUUGAACGCACAUUGCGCCCGCCAGUAUUCUGGCGGGCAUGCCUGUCCGAGCGUCAUUUCAACCAUCAAGCCCCCGGGCUUGUGUUGGGGACCUGCGGCUGCCCGCAGGCCCUGAAAACCAGUGGCGGGCUCGCUGUCACACCGAGCGUAGUAGCAAUCACCUCGCUCAGGGCGUGCUGCGGGUUCCGGCCGUUAAACAGCCUUACAAAACCCAAGGUUGACCUCGGAUCAGGUAGGAAGACCCGCUGAACUGAAG